UAGGACAUGGUCUAAAUGUCUUCUCAGCAGG
rnacentral:piRNA from 1 species